rnacentral:misc_RNA from 1 species
CGGUGCGCCUGCAGGUAACUCAGUACGGCUCUGAAACCCUAGAUCUCCGUCGCCGGCCGGGAUUCGAAGACGCUGCUAGAGAAUAAUACACUGAAGCUGGUGAAAUGGCUGACAACAGUAAGUCAACCGAGAACCAUAACCAAAGUUCUGAUGAUAAUUUAGCUCCAGAGAAUGGUAAUGAGGCCAUUGAUUCCUUGGCACGAAAGGUCCAAGAAUCUCUGUCGCUUGCAAAGAGACAUAAGUUCUGGGAGACCCAACCAGUGAGACAGUUG